CAAAAGUGAUCCAUCCGAUGUACUAGAGUUAUAGAUUAAGAUGCAAUUACCCCAGAAGUCCAUAGGUUGUGAUCCCAGGAAUUGCACAGGGUACAUUGGCCUUCAAAACCAACACAAUUCAGAGAUUACAUUGAGAAGCUCAGAGAAAUUUUAAACCAAAUGCAGCCCAGAUGUGCUAACCUUUGUUUUGAAAGGAGAAGAACAACAGAAAACUUAUUAUUUUAUACUGGAGAUACACCAUGGAAUGUUAACCUGGGCACAAUCUUGGAAAGGAACAAAAGUCUUUUUCACUAUUGUUGAACAAGAUUGAUCAGCGUAUAAAUGAAGCCCUCUGUAGCCACACAGGCAGAUGACAGGCAACAUGAGUUCGACUGGGACAACACUACUAUUAUAGGACAAGCCAAACAGAGAACAGCCAGG